rnacentral:lncRNA from 1 species
GGCAAGAACCUCACUAUGUGAAGUUUGUACUUUAAAGCUAGCCAAAGAAAUACCUUGACCUUCUUUGGCCCCGUUACUUUCCAAAUGACUUUAUAUUAAAGGAAAACAAGUUCACCAUUGUUAGAAAUCUUUAGUAAGAGUCAAUUGCGAAAAAGGCAUAUUGAGUGAGCUUCUAAAUAGGAGGGUUAGCAAUUCUUGAUUGUCUGAUUGCAAAAAGAAGAUCUAAUAUGAUCAACAAUUGAGACAUUUGAACCUGGGACAAUGGGCCAU